rnacentral:rRNA from 1 species
UACGUAGGGUGCAAGCGUUGUCCGGAAUUAUUGGGCGUAAAGAGCUCGUAGGCGGUCUGUCGCGUCUGCUGUGAAAACUCAGGGCUUAACCCUGAGCUUGCAGUGGGUACGGGCAGACUAGAGUGCGGUAGGGGGAGACUGGAAUUCCUGGUGUAGCGGUGAAAUGCGCAGAUAUCAGGAGGAACACCGGUGGCGAAGGCGGGGUCUCUGGGCCGUAACUGACGCUGGAGGAGCGGAAAAGCAUGGGGAGCGAACAGG